rnacentral:hammerhead_ribozyme from 1 species
CCAUUGCUGAGGAGCCCCAUGCUGGGGCGAAACGGCCGUCCAAUGC